UCUUCCUUCCCCGCCCCCGUCGAGAAAGACGCUUCCUUUCCGUCACUUCCGGCGGGAGGGACGCGGAAGUGAAGAACUGUAGUUGGAAGGUGUUCGGAGUGGGACCGGCGUGAGAAUGUUAGACUGGAGGUCGGAGCCCUGGGGUUCUUGCGGGAAACGCGAGGAACUCGGUGUACGACGACGUGUUCCAGGAGAAAAGGUCGGAGGCGGAAGGCGGGCCCGUGCCUCCCGCUCCCAGAGGAUUCCAGGCGUCCUCUGGCCAGAUCCUUGUGCUGUCAGAUGAUGGGCUGAACCUGGCUGCCGAAUACUCGCGGGCAAUUUAAAGUUACUUUUGGGAUAUUUGUUGGUGGCCGAAUCGCCAAGAGGAGAUGGUUGUUGGGACGAUGCCUCCACCCUCCAGCCUGAUCACAAUUACAGCUUUACUGUAUUCGCCGUCAAUCGGGAGGACCUAUGAACUCGAGGCUGCGUGCUCCUAGUCCACACAGGCAAGGGACUCACCAGAAUAUCUCACGAGGAAGAAGCACUUAAUUAAAACCAGGCUGUUCUUGAAUCCCACUUUAUUCUGUACUGAAUUUGCUUCAAAAUUUGAAAGGAAAAUUUUAAAGAAAAUUUCUCCUUAGAGCGUCUUUAUACAUGUACUGAAUUUUAUAUCAUAUGACAUGACUUCUGAGUAGAUGCUAACUCUUUCAAAGUCCAGAAUAAAGACUACAUUCCCAGCCUCCCUUGCAGCUUGGUGUGACUUUGUGUCUAAUUCUGGUCACUGGGGUGUAAGCAGAGUGAUAUGUUUAACUUCUAAGUGUCCUUAACUGUAGAGAGAAGUCUUUGCUCACUUGCUAAAAUUCAGAUGAGGUGGCUGGAACUUGAACAACAUUGUGGAUCACAAGGCCCAAGCCACAUGCGGUCACACAGAAGCCAGCAGAAAAACAAAACAGGUGGGUGGAGCUUUGGGUACCUACUGGAUGUGGAACUGCCUCCCUAGCCUUCGACUGAUUACAUGAGGGAGAAAGCACUUGUUAGCACACUGUUACUUGAGGUUUUCUGAACUAAUAUGCUCAAAAAAUGAUAACUCUCACUAUUAAAUGAUUCCCUAUAUGCUUCAAGAGGGGCAAAAAUGUUAAUAAUUUUAAGGAGUAUAUUUAGAAGGAAAAUCUGGGGUCGUACUAUUCAAAAAUGUGCUGUAAUAAAGCAGCUUAAUGAAGUUGAUGGAACUCAGAAUCUACAAAAGUUAAAGUUUUUAAACAAUGAAAUGUAUAUUCUUUCUAUGCUAUUUAGAAGUGAGGGCACCAUGAGUUUAGUCCAUGAGCCCCAAUUUGUUAGACACAAGAUUGGGGAUGUGGAGAAUAGAAAUUAUUCAGCUAACUUCCCUGGCUCUGCUAUUCACCGCAUUUGCUUCUCACCAAUCACUUGUACUCCAGAGUAAACUCUACCUAAUACCCUGUAGGAUGUAGGCACCCCCAUCUUCAAAAAGGAGUGAGAACAUGGAAGACAAGAACCUGGAUGUUACUGGGCAUGUUGCUAAGAGUUAAGCUUUUGGAGAGAGGGUAAAAGGGAUUAAAAUAUUGGUCUUCAACUUCACAUCUCUUUGGAUUUAGUCUUUUGAGAUUCCUGGCCUUUGGAUUUUCCUCUCUGGGAAUAUAUUCCUCACCCUUACUCAUCACUUUUGAUGGUUCUUCCCCUGGUCCCAUGAUCUUGGGAGCAGGUGGUGAGAAAUUAGGCUUGUGUAUGCUUCUUGCUUGAGAGAGGUCUUCUACUUUGAAAGGGGGCCCUGGAGAGUUGUAGACACUCAGGCUCCUUCUAGCCAGAUAGGCUCUGCCCUUAUGCUCCUUUGGAGGCUUUGCAAAGGUGUCUUCUGCUGCAGCUCAGAUGCAGGGAAGCAUGGAGUAGUUCAUCAGGACCCUGCCUUUGGCUGUCUGUCUCUUCAUGACAAUGCUACUGAGUCAAGUUCAGUCAGAAGGUAGAAAGCACAUCAAUUACCUGAACAGAGAAUUUAACAUAAAAGAUUAACAUACAUGAAGCUGUUAACUAAGUAAUCAAAAGGAUAAAAAGAAAACUCAGGUGUCACAGAGGAAGCAACUGUAGGAAGCAGUUUCCACCUCUAUGGCUGGGGGAACAAAAACAAAGACGUCAGCAUUAGUACAACUGAGAAACUUAGAGGAACAGGGGAAUGUCUAAUGGCACUGUGGUCUCUGAGGGAGACCUCACCAAGCUGGUUCUCCAUGUUUUAGAAAAACCACCCUUUGGGCUCAGCUACUGAUGCUGGAGUAAGAAGCAUUGGAGUGAGUCACACAGAACUGCAAGCAGAUGGGAAGCAGGUAGGGGGAGGAGGUUCCUACUUCAUCUUCCAGGCUUGUGACAUUGCUGUCCCUUAGGGGCAGAGCCAAACAGUGAGCUUUCAAGAGUGUUGCUUGCAGACUCCCAGCUUCAGCACCACUAGACACAGAACAGAAAGUUAGGUUUGGAACCGGAGCAGACAACCACAUUGAGUUCUUAUUUGAAUAGAUGUUUCACUCCAAGUGUACAGAUUGAAGUUUACAUAUCAGCCUCCUCUGAGCUUAAGGAGCUUAAACCAAUGUCUAGGUUUUCUUAACAGUUCUUAAGUGUCAGAUAACAUCAGCCUAGAAUCCUAGUCCAGGAUCACUUCAAUCAGAUGUUAUACCUCAACUGUAACCUGCCACUGCCCUUUCCUCCCUAUGUCCUCCUGCCCCAGGCUCAAUUCUACCCAUGAGUUUUGGGAUACCAACUGUGAGAAGUGCAGUUCAGGAAUCCAGAAAGCAGAACCAUCCCCAGGAGAUGAAUCAUGACCACUUAAAAUCUGAGUAAGCCCCUUCACAUUUGCCUGGUACUCUUUCCCAGAGUUUUUUACCGCCAAAGGUGGCCAUAUUACCCAGUUUUGGCUAGAGAGAUAGGAGAAACUGCUGGCAAGAUCUCUGGGAAUAAUUUUAUUCAGUGCUUAAAAAGCUGGGCAUGCCUUUUCCCUUUUAUUGUCAGGAAGCAGGGCUGAAAAUGUAAUUCCUGACUCUGAGACAUCCAUCUUACAACUACAAAGUGACAAAAAAA